AAAAAGUUUCUCUUACUGCUUACGAUUCUUUGGUUAUUAUUAUUUGCUUUAGAUUAGAUUUUAUUCUAUAAUUUUUUAAAGAAUUUCUCAAAAAUUUCCCACCCUUAGUUGCUAGCUGUCCCCCACUGGCCCCGCAAUUCGGUUCUUUCCCCAGUGGCGUAGGAUUUCACUGUAUGUGGAUGCCAAAACCUUCUAACUUCAAAUGCAAUCUUUAAGAAGGAAGCUUUCCUUUUUUUUAAUUUUUUUUUUGAAUUUUUGAUAUGUUGUGGUGUUAAAACAACCCACAAUCAAAGCUUGUCGGUUGUGGUGUCUGCAACUGCAAAUGUGGCUCGUUUAAUAAAUGUCUGGAUUUUGCUAAACUGGCAUCUGUCUCACUUUUCAUUGGUGGGUUCAAAAACAAAAUGAAAAUUUAAUUGAUAUUUACUUUGCUUAUAUACUCUUCUUUCUAUGAUUCAUUGAUUCAAUGGCAAUAGCAAUUGGUUAGCUAAGCUAGCUCCUUUUUUCCUUUCCCCUUCUUCUUCUUUGGCCUUUUUUGCUAGCUUUGAAGCAAACCCAUUUGAUAAAUUUUAACCGUCUAAUGCUUUUCUUGUUGAUUUUCUUUUUUUCUUUUGUUUUCUUCUUUAAGUCAUUCCCUUUCAAGCCACCCCCACCACCAAUGAAUAGUGUGUGGAGAUUGUUGUUGUCACCUUUGUUUUGGGAGCAGCUUUCAGGAUUUCUUGUGUCGUGGUUUCAUAAAGAUUGGCUUUCUAUUGGUGUCUACCAAGUUCCCAUGAAAAUGCCACAGAAGAAGAUCAAUCUUGGUUUAAAACAGGCAGCAAAUGCGGAGGAAGAGAGUCCUUCUCUCCUGGAUUUGCCUGAAUUAACCUUGGAAUGCAUUCUUGAGAGACUUUCACCAUCUGGGUUGUGUAGCAUGGCAGGAGUUUGCAGCUCUUUGAGGGAUAGGUGCACAAGUGAUCAUCUGUGGAAGAAACACCUAAAGCAGAAAUGGGGUAGGCUAAUUGGCGAUGCUGCUUUUAGGGAAUGGCAAUGUCAUAUAGCUUCAAGAAAGAGGCCAGGCCUUGUGGACCAAAGCAAUCAAAAGGGUUUCUUAAGAUCUCUUGGUACUGUGUGGUCAUUUUCUUGGAUUAAACCAAAGUUUGAAACUAGAAACAAGCCAAGUACUUCUUUACCAGUUGAUUCAAUCAUGGCUAUGUAUCUCUCUCUUGAAAGAGGCAAAUUCUGGUUCCCAGCUCAGGUCUAUAACCGUGAGAAUGGACAUGUUGGGUUUUUGCUUUCCUGUUAUGAUGCUCAAAUAAGUUAUGAUUCCAAGACAGACACAUUUCAGGCAAGGUAUAUAAAGGAAAUUACUUUCUUCAAAUAAUUUAUACCUAUGUGUGGUGUAAAAAUUAGAAAAGACAUUGGGGUUGAAUUUGAUGUUGAAGAUCACAUAUAUUAAGCAGAGUCCUCUGCUGAUACUGAUUCGCAGGUAUUCUCCUUACGGACGGCGAAUGAUAGAGGAAAGCAUACACAGGGAUAGGCUAAGAGCACCACCUGUUGAUACUCCUGCACAUGAUCUUCACAUUUCUGACUGUUUAAAUGACUUGAAACCUGGUGAUCAUAUUGAGAUUCAAUGGAGAAGAAGCAAAGAAUUUCCUUAUGGUAUGUUCUCAAUCUCGACCAUGGAAAAAUUCUUGGCAAAUUAACAUGAUUUUUACUUGGAGGGUUGAGUUCAAUUUCCUUGAUUAAGCAGGUUGGUGGUAUGCUACUGUUGGUCAUACGGAAGCUUGUGAUGUGAAUGAAAAUCACUGUCCUUGUCAAUAUAAUGAUAUGGUGGCAUUGGAGUUCAACCAAUAUUCUCCCGGCUCUAGAUGGAGAAGAACCAUAAUAAACAGGAAGGAGCACAGGGAAGAAGGAAAUGAAGCUGAUGGAUUCUAUGGAGGAAUUAGAAAACUUUACAAGGAGGAAGAAAUCUCAACCUGGAAGAGGCUUUGGCCCAGACAAGUCUUUGAAUAGUAUGAUAAUUAUAGUUAUUAUUAUUAUUAUAUUAUUUUUUUUUCCCAUUCUCACUCAUUUCUCUUCUGUAAAUAGUCCUCCUUUUAGAGUCACAAAAAUGCUUCUAGGGAGAUGUUUUUCAGUUAGGCUUCAUAAGAUUUUGUUAAGCUCUCAGAGGUUUAUAUGUAUUGUAAUUUUGUAGUUAAGAAACUUCAGUUUACAGAUUAGCAAUCCUAAAGAGAAAUGCAGAUGCUUGUGCAAAGAUGAGCGCUGAACUGAAAUACACCUUUUUAUUUUCUUUUUUGAGCUCGCAGAGGCUUUUAAAGAAUGCAAAUAGCUUUUCUGAUAUGACUUCAGAGAUUUUUAAUAAGAAACGACAUAUGAAGAGAUUAGGUCCAUGAAUCUGUUUUAAAUGGAGUUAUAAGCAAACUAAAGCAGGCACUAGAUCAUUGGACUAUCAUUUCUAUAGCAAGGUGAUUUGAUAUUGUGCAAUAAGAACAUCAAAAAUUAUUUUGAGCUCUGUUUAGUUAAAAAAAAAAAAAAAUCUAGUGAUCCCAACUACUGUAUGAAGGAAUCAUUCUUGUCGAGGGUACUGCUAAGAAAAAGGCAAUAAGACCUGGAUUUCCUUAUUUGUAAAAUUAUUGUGUUUCCAUAGAAUUCAAGAUUCAGUGCAUUUGAUAAGCAUUGAAAGCAUGGUAAUUAAUCUGUAAUGGGAAAGAUAAAUGAAAUUAGAUCAGCAAGAUUACUAGGAUCUUGCGCAUACUGGCUGUGAUGUUAAUUAGCUAUGAUUAUCUGAAGCUGCAUCAAAAUGAAUCCAUUAUGCCCUAAAAUGGAAGGUUUGUGCAGGACUGCUUAAGCAGUUCCUGUACUUUAUAGUCAAUGUUAAUAGAAUUGCAGUGUUACAUUCAUUACCAAGGCUUUGGAAAUCUUUUUGCUAGAAAAUAUUUGAUUCAAGAAUGAUGGCAAUGGGAUUAGAUGGUAGGGCGUCUUCAACAACCACCAGAUAUUUUUGUUUCAGGCACUAGAAAGUGCAUGCAAAUGAACUUUGCUCAUACUCUAUAUUAAAUAAAUUAACAUAUGGUAAUAAUUGUUGUGGAUUUUAUUUGCUUGGCCUUGGUUUAAUGCUGAUAGUUGGACGCUAAUGAUGAAAGUGAUUAUGGUAGAUCCAAUAUCUAAAAUUUAAAUCUUACCAAUGCAAGAAACAUAAAGUAAUUGCUAACCGUGUUAAAAGAAGCUCUAUGGGUGAUAUUAUCUCUCAGCUGUUGCUUUCACACAUCCUUGAUAACUUCCUUACAAGCAGCUGCAAGUUUGAUAGCAGCUUUUCUAGAUUGAUUGUUUUAAUGUUCGUAAGGUUAUUUAUAGCUCAAUGAGAUUUCGUGCAUUUCAACAUCUUUCUAAAUUUUUCUAGCAACUUGUGAGGCAUUUUAUGUUUUUCCUUCUUUUUCUGUAUGCAUGAGAUGAAAUUAUCUUCCUUUGCACUUUUUGGAUACAUGAUAUUGAUGUUAUUCACUCUGUUAUGAGUAUGGUGUCAUUUUUAUUUUUGUUCGAUAUUAAGAUAUUUUAUAAGCUUAAUCUGACUCAGAUGGUUACUCUGUUCAACUGGACGCUCAGAUAACCACUGUUGUAGCUUUUAUAAUUGUUGCAUCAAACUCUUUCAUCAGGUAGCUAGUUUUCCAUUUGAUG
rnacentral:misc_RNA from 1 species